CAUAAUGCUCCGAUCAAUUCUCUCAUCUCCCUUCUGCCGGAAUCUCUCUUCGUCCACUCUCCGCCACAUCUCUACGACGCCGCAUCUCAGCUUCUCAUGGAUGGACAAGGUCAAAGGAGUUCUUACCGGCCAGAAGACCGAACCCCCACCCUCACAAUCGGCCCAGUCGUUCACCCUUCUUCUAUUUGCGGAGGAGAUGAGGAAGGCUAGGAAAUUGGGGACUUUGAAGCAAUUCGUAGUUGGCCGAAGCAGUGAGGCCACUUUUAACGAUGCCUUUGAGAAGCAAGAGGCCAUAAUUCGAUACCUAGGCGGUGUCGAUAAUACUGGGGAGAACAUCCAAACCAAGCACAAGCAGGAUGCAGCAAAACAAUGUAAUUGCACGCUGGCAGAGGUUGAGAAUACCUUAGCUAAGUUUACGUGGGCCAAGCAAGCUCAGGCAAAGCUUGAACAACUUCAAGCUGAAGGCAAACCUAUCCCAAAGAGCAUGUCCGAGAUCCAGAAAAUGAUGGGAUCAUCUGCAUUGGAUCUUGCAAGAUCAAACAUGGCAAAAAGUGGGAAAACAAGUAGAAAUUCACCCUGCCCCUGUGGUUCUAAGAAGUUGUACAAGAGGAAGUGAGAAGACAUUAUGGGGACCCAACAUGUUAAACCGCUCAUGUUUCAAAAGAAUCAGUCUUAUACUUUUCAUAUUGGCUUGAGUCUUCUGAGAAGUACUUGACCAAUUCCUUCUCCAGCUUCGUGGGAGAGUACUACUAUUCAUUCCAUGUUUCUAUUUGCAUAUUCUUUUUCGCCCUUGAAUCAAAACAUGUGAUAUAAUAUGGUCAUGUUGGAGUCUGCUGAUUAGGUUUGGUUUUUGAAGGUGCUGCGGCAAGGACAAGAGCAGUUGAGAGCAACUUGGGUUGUUGAGUUGAGGGAGAAGUGGAAAAGGAAAGGUUGAAUUAGGAACAUAAUGUGCAUUGCUUCUUCUUGGAUGACUACAUGGGGAUUUUCCGAGUAGUCGAUUCAUAUUUCAUAGACAUGUUGGCACCUUUAGAAGCAGGGGCCUAGUAGCUUGCCAUGAGACACCAUUAUCAAUCACCAGCUUAUGUAUGAGUGGUAACUAUACACAGAUUAUACUUGUAAGAUUAUGACCACUUCUCAUCAGGAUCUGUACAGUCCAUACCAAAUCUCUUGUUUUUUUUUGCUUGCAUGUUUUAAACUUCACUGAAGUUUGUAUAUUUGAUUAAUUUUGAUUUGAUUUCUUGUAGUACCUGUUUCUGAGUAAUGCUUAGUGCUAAAUCAUUUGAUAAAAUAUUCGAUUUC